rnacentral:rRNA from 1 species
GACGAACGCUGGCGGCGUGCUUAACACAUGCAAGUCGAGCAGAAAGGCCCUUCGGGGUACUCGAGCGGCGAACGGGUGAGUAACACGUGAGUAAUCUGCCCCAUGCUUCGGGAUAGCCAGCCGAAAGGCUGAUUAAUACCAGAUAUGACAUCUCCUGGCAUCGGGGGGUGUGGAAAGUUUUUUCGGCGUGGGAUGUGCUCGCGGCCUAUCAGCUUGUUGGUGGGGUAAUGGCCUACCAAGGCUUCGACGGGUAGCCGGCCUGAGAGGGUGACCGGCCACACUGGGACUGAGACACGGCCCAGACUCCUACGGGAGGCAGCAGUGGGGAAUAUUGGACAAUGGGCGGAAGCCUGAUCCAGCAACGCCGCGUGAGGGAUGACGGCCUUCGGGUUGUAAACCUCUUUCAGCACAGACGAAGUUUUGUCUUUUUGGGCAAAGUGACGGUAUGUGCAGAAGAAGGACCGGCCAACUACGUGCCAGCAGCCGCGGUAACAC